rnacentral:misc_RNA from 1 species
UUUCCGUAGGUGAACCUGCGGAAGGAUCAUUAUUGUAUAACCGAGAUGCGAGGGCUGUCGCUGACCCGAAAGGUCGUGCACGCCCGAGUGCCCUCACACACAUCCAUCUCACCCCUCUGUGCACCACCGCGUGGGUCCCCCUUUGGCUUGUUCGGAGGGGGGCUUACGUUUUCACACAAACUUUGUAUGCAGUGUAGAAUGUAUUUUUUGUUUUUGCGAUCACGCAAUCAAUACAACUUUCAACAACGGAUCUCUUGGCUCUC